rnacentral:rRNA from 1 species
AUUGAACGCUAGCGGGAUGCCUUACACAUGCAAGUCGAACGGAGUGGCGAACGGGUGAGUAAUGUAUCGGAACGUGCCCAGUAGAGGGGGAUAACUACGCGACAGCGUAGCUAAUCCCACAUACUCUUGGAUCGGCAGAUAUCGGAGUCGCUAGUUGGUGGGGUAACGGCUUACCUAGGCGACGAUCUGUAGCUGGUUUGAGAGGACGACCAGCCACACUGGAACUGAGACAAGGCCCAGACUCCUACGGGAGGCAGCAGUGGGGAAUUUUGGACAAUGGGGGAAACCCUGAUCCAGCCAUCCCGCGUGAGCGAUGAAGGCUUUCGGGUUGUAAAGCACUUUUGGCAGGAAAGCGGGACCUGCAGAAUAAGCACCGGCUAACUACGUGCCAGCAGCGGCGGUAAUAG